rnacentral:rRNA from 1 species
GACGAACGCUGGCGGCGUGCCUAACACAUGCAAGUCGAGCGGGGAGGAGGAAGCUUGCUUCCGAAUCCUAGCGGCGGACGGGUGAGUAACGCGUGAGCAACCUGCCUCUUACAGGGGGAUAACGCAUCGAAAGAUGUGCUAAUACCGCGUAAGACCACAGCAUCACAUGGUGCAGGGGUCAAAGGAGCAAUCCGGUAAGAGAUGGGCUCGCGUCCGAUUAGCUAGUUGGCGGGAUAACAGCCCACCAAGGCGACGAUCGGUAGCCGACCUGAGAGGGUGAUCGGCCACAUUGGAACUGAGAUACGGUCCAGACUCCUACGGGAGGCAGCAGUGGGGAAUAUUGGGCAAUGGGCGAAAGCCUGACCCAGCAACGCCGCGUGAGGGAAGAAGGGUUUCGGCUCGUAAACCUCUGUCCUAUGGGACGAAGAAGUGACGGUACCAUAGGAGGAAGCCCCGGCUAACUACGUG